ensembl:lncRNA
GAGAGAAGAGAUUGUUUCAUUCUUUGGGUUGUAUCUCCAGAAAAUAAUAAUAUAGAGCCUAGCAUUCAGCAGGCAUAUAAUAAAAACUUGUUGAUUGGUUGAAGGUAUUCCUAUAUCCCCAUUCACCCAUGUUCAUAACUUCAGAGACAUCUCUGUCGCUUUCAUCUCCUUCACAUCCCAUAUCCAAAUCUAACUGAAUCUACCUCCAUAGUUGCUUCUCUACACAUAAAUUAAUGACACAUACAGAACCUUAUCACUUGUUGCCUUUACAAAUCUAAUAGCUCUUAAUUGAACUCCCUGGUUCUUGUCUCUUCUUUCCUCCAAAUCCAUUCUCUUCAUUUUGGUCCAAAUAACCUUCCUGAGGCACAGUUUUGGCCAUAUCAUCCCCCUUUCAAAUUAAUUCUCUAAGGGCUUUUUCCUAUACCAGAAAAUACAAGAGACAGCUAGGUGAUCCAGUGCGUAAAGUCAGGAACAGUUCCUUCUUGAGUUCAAAUCUGGUCUCAGAUACUUACUAGCUGUGUGACUCUGGGCAAGUCAUGUAACCCUGUUUUACCUCAGUUUCCUCAUCUGUAAAAUGAGCUGAAGAAGGAAAUGGCAAACUAAUUUUCUACCUUUGCAAGGAAAACCCCAAAUGGGGUCACGAACAGUCAGACACAGCUGAAAUGACUCAACAACAAAAUACAAGUUCCUCAGCUUAGCAUUUAAAACCUUCCACAAUCUAGCUUCUUUUCAUCUUUCCAGAUCUCUCUGAUUACUUCCUUUCACAUGUAAAGGAGGUAUAGGGAAGUCUUUAUAUUUCUUUGCUCCUUUUAGGAGGGGUGAAGUUUCUCAGUCAUUUCCUAGAAGACAUCUGGGCGUUUGCUGCCUGAAGGAAGGGUCGGCUGUAUCCCUGGUGACCUUUUUAUUUUUUUUUGCUGAGGUAAUUGGGGCUAAGUGACUUGCCCAGAAUCAUACAGCUAGGAAGUGUCAAGUGUCUGAGGUCAAAUUUGAACUCAGAUCCUCCUAACUUCAGGGCUGGAGCUCUAUCCACUGCUCCACCUAGCUGCCCCAUCCCUGGUGACUUAAAAAACAAAGAGGGCUUCAUAAGCCUUGGGGAAACAGCUUGGAAUCAUUACAAGAACAGAAGAGUUUGGAGAAUGAGUCCAGACCAAUAAGAACAUUGUUGUGCUGGGUAUAAUAGCAUAAUGCUUGUCCUUGUCCAAAUGGGUUUCUUGUGCGGGAUGAAGUUCCCAUCUAAUCCAAAUGACCUUAACCUGUUCCCAACUGGCAAAAUUGUACCCUCCCACCUCUGACCAAGAAGUCUAUCCCUGCUAAUCAAUAUUUGUGUUGCUUAGGUUAAGUGUAUGGUCUCCUAGAAGCCAUAAUGAAGACGAAUAAAUGCUACCUUAAUAAGGAAAUGGACUCUGGCUCAGUAGCUUCUAGGAAGACUAACUUGAGAAGAAUGGGCUGUUUUUAAACAUAGUUCUAGCUGACCCUCUUAAGCCUUCUUUUGGUCUCAAAAACCUUUUUUUUUUCUCUAGAGGGCUUCAUAAGCCUUGGAGAAACAGCUUACAUUCCUCCCAUUUGGCAAGCUUCCUUUUUUCUCCAGCAUGAUUCAGACUAGUCCUUCCCAGAAAUGACUUGGAGAACCAAAAGGAGAUAGUGUCGAGAACUGUCUUGCUUUUCAAUAGCAGAAUUAUUGUUUCAUAAUGAUGGUAGAUGUGUAUUUACUUGAAUAAAGGAGAUCCCCUGGCUGACUUGGUGGUAAUUCUGCGUUUAUAGAUGAGAAUGAAGGAAAAUCUAUAUUUAGCUCCCAUGGAAGGAGG